rnacentral:rRNA from 1 species
CUACGGGAGCAGCAGUGAGGAAUUUUGCGCAAUGGGGGAAACCCUGACGCAGCAACGCCGCGUGAGUGAUGAAGGCCUUCAGGUCGUAAAGCUCUGUCAAGUGGGAAGAACCCACCCUGUGCUAAUAUCACAGGGUGCUGACGGUACCACUGAAGGAAGCACCGGCUAACUCCGUGCCAGCAGCCGCGGUAAUACGGAGGGUGCAAGCGUUAUUCGGAAUUACUGGGCGUAAAGGGCGCGUAGGCGGCCGUUUAAGUCAGAUGUGAAAUCCCGGGGCUCAACCCCGGAAGUGCAUCUGAAACUAAGAGGCUUGAGUAUGGGAGAGGGAAGUGGAAUUCCUGGUGUAGAGGUGAAAUUCGUAGAUAUCAGGAGGAACACCGGUGGCGAAGGCGGCCCCCUGGACGAAGACUGACGCUCAGGUGCGAAAGCGUGGGGAGCAAACAGGAUUAGAUACCCCUGUAGUC